rnacentral:rRNA from 1 species
UACAGAGGUCCCAAGCGUUGUUCGGAUUCACUGGGCGUAAAGGGUGCGUAGGCGGGUCUUUAAGUCAGGGGUGAAAUCCUGGAGCUCAACUCCAGAACUGCCUUUGAUACUGAGGAUCUUGAGUUCGGGAGAGGUGAGUGGAACUGCGAGUGUAGAGGUGAAAUUCGUAGAUAUUCGCAAGAACACCAGUGGCGAAGGCGGCUCACUGGCCCGAUACUGACGCUGAUGCACGAAAGCGUGGGGAGCAAACAGG